AGCCUGUUCCUUGGCUGGGGUCGGUAGGGCUUGGAGCCAGCCGUUCAAAGUCACCCCUGGGAAGCGCCCGCAACCCUUGGGGACGCCUCUCCUCCGGCUGCCCCCCUUCCCUGGAAUCCAGGUGUCACUGGGGCCGGGGAGGGGCUAGGAGCUCGGAUUUCUGCUUUGGGAAGUUUUUACAAGCCCACCCUCCCCCUGCCUUGGUUCCCCGAGCCAAGAAUUUCAGAAAUCCGGGGCACAAAAACGCCAGUGUUUGCGGUCAAGGAUUAAAGGCGCGAGGUGUCUUUAUUUAAUCUGCUCCGCCCUGCUCGGGUUUGCACGAGAAACCAAGCCUGGGAGCGACGGUCCACGCAAGCGGAGACACAGGCAAGUCGCGUGAGAGCACUUUUCUGAGCCCGAGUUGCUUGUCUUUUAUCGCCCGUGAGGAGGUAAAGAAAGGCAGACCUCUCCGGUGCACAAAUAAAGGAGCCGUGUUGUGACUUGCCGGCUCUGAGAUUGGGAGGCAGAAAAUAAAUACAAACCGCGACCUCAGUCCUGACCGUACCUCUAGCAGCCCCUCUGCUCCUGGGAGCUGUAAAUGCUUAAGUAAAUAAACCGCAAACCAGAAAAAUAAGGGCUUAGGAAAGAGCCGCUCACACAGAGAUGCGCAUCCAGGCGGGGCGCUCUCCAAGAGCUCCGAAUGGGGCAAGGUGGGUUUCACCCGCUGCCAAGUAAUGCCUGGGCUCCCGGGCUACACGCUGCUUAGGGCUCCGGCUUUUGCAAGGAGGGGAAGAGCUAAGCCCGGAGGCAGUCAGCCGACUGCCCUGUCUUGCCUCAAAUGACGUAUAUUCAUUCCUCAAACGUUUCCUGAGUGUUUACUAGGUGCCAGGCGCUGGGGCAUAGUGGUGAGCCAAACGCAUUAUAGCAUCCCAGACAGGCACUUCCUGACGCCGCCUAAAGAUCUGUUAUAACAAUAGUAAUAAUAAUGAUAAUAAUCAAUGGGGAGGCUGAUUUUAUUGAGCCCAGACCACAUGCAGUUUUCAUGCGUCAUGCUAUUGAGUUUUACCAACUGUAGGUAUAUUUAUUAUAUCUAUUUGGCAGGUGCACAAUCCAGGGCUCAGAGAAAUCAGGUAACUUCCCAAAUGACCCCUCGAGUUAAGUGGUACAGCCUGGACUCCCGUUCCAGACUCUACGUGUAUGAAACCCUUGUCUUUGGGGAAAUCCACCGCCAUUGCCUUAAAUAGCCUCUCUCCCCAUUUAGGAGCAGCCUCUGAGCCCUUGGGCAAGUCAUUUUCAUCUCUUUGCCCCAGUUUUGCCAUCUGAAGGAAAUUCUUAUUAGAAUAUGUCUACUUUUUAGCAGGAUUCCUUAAUAUAAAAUCGAGUCUCAUGAAACUUUAGGAACAAAUUAGAGGAGAAUCAUAGCUAAUAGUUAUUACUGACAUAAUAAUGCCAAAACGAAUCAUAAUUAUUGACACUUAUUGGGUGAAUGCCAUGUGUCAGGCAUUGGUCUAAACUCUUUCUGUAUAGCACCUAAUUAAAUCCUAUUAAGCCAUUUUUUACUUAUGAGAAAACUGAGGGGGGGCACAAAGCGAUUAAAUUACUUCCUCCAAAGUCACACAAAUAGCUGAGUCUUGAACCCUGGUCCUAAACUACUAGUCUCCGCUACCUCCCCAAUGUAAACAUGUGCACUGUAUUUGCCUGCUCAGAUAAGCAUUUAAUGUCAGUCCAGGAAGGGGCAAAGCUCUUGAAAUAGACAAAGUUUGUGUUCACGAUAUUCACUCCUGCCCUCCGUUCCCUGUCAGCAUUAUCCCCUGGUCACUGGACGCUGGGGUCUAGUGCCUAAUACGUUAAGCUGCUUCUCCCCAUCAUCAAGAAACUGCCGCAUCUGCCAUAUAAAGGAGAUGUUUCUCAUUCGCCCCCACUCAUCUCUUCCCCCAUGAAAACCUCUUCCAUUUUCAAAGGAUCUUCGGCUCUACUUUUCAAGCAAAUUCAACAAAUCAGUGUAUGCCUGUGUAACUGGUAAAUAGUGAAGGGUAAUUAUUUCAUGUGCUUCUAACUCAGAAACAAUGGAAUAUUAACAGCGGUUUUCUGAAGAUCCAGUUGGACAAUUUUCAUUUUCAUCAUAUAAUGGACAUUUAUCUCCUACCUGCAUUAUCCACUGUCUUCCCUCGGAGACCACAAAUUUCACUGAAGGCAGCAUCUAUGUCUUAUUCAUGCUUGUGCUCUCUACCUCCCCUGACCCAGAAGGACUUAUUCUUCUUUCUGCACAUUUUAGUAGAUGUGUUAAAAAAAAAAAAAAAAAGUUUGUUAAGAAGAUGUUUUAAUGGAAGGUGUGUCAGGCAUAUGGCAGGAUACAUGACCAUAUUUUUGGAGCAUGCAACACCUCGUAGCCCAUCUCUAUCAUAGCCUAUUUUCUCCGCCUGUAUGUAUGGAUAAUCCUAUUCAACAUUUUUAAGGUCUAGAAGCUGCUAGGUCACUAGAAAGUAAUUUUGCUAUGAUGUGAAGAGGUUCUCUAUGAUGAUGUAUGACUGAUAAAUUAUGAUGAUUAAUGUCAGAAUAUAAGGGUCACUGCCUAACUCAUUCUCUGUUAUCAGUAGAGGGAAAGGAGCUGCUUUCUCUUCACUAUUUUUUUCUAGAAGAAUUUUCUAUCCCUGUGUUUUCCAGUAUAGUGACUACUAGCCAUUUAGGCACGUAAGAUGUGGCUAGUUCUGAGAUGUGAAAUAGAUGUUAACACAUUGAAUUUCAAAGACUUAGUACAAAAAAAAGCAAAAUAUCUUAAUUUGUAUAGUGAUUACAUGUUGAAGUGGUAAUAUUUUGGAUAUUUGUGUUAAAUAAAAUAGAUUAUUAGAAUUUAUUUUACCUGCUUUUUCCUUUUUUAAUAUAGCUACUAGGAAAUUAAAAAUUACAUGUAUAGCUCAUAUCAUAUAUUAUGCAGCACUGAUCUAGAAAACCAAGAAUCUGAUUCCCAGGAUCACAAUUCGAGAUGAUGACCAGCCCAUUAAAAUGGCCAUUUAUGACUUUGCCCUUGAAAUGUUCAUGCAGGGAACUACGAGGGCUUUGCAAGGUCAGUACAGUAUCAUAGACUGAGCAGAAGUCUGAAGAAAGUCCAAAACUAGCACUUGAGCCUACCCCCAGGGAAGACCUACAAAUAGAAGCAGGUUUCAUCAGCAGUACACAGCUGAAAACUCUAACUGAAUUCAUCUGCCUAGAAGCCCACCUCAAAUGCUGCCCUGGUUAAGAGAGCAAGAUAAGCUGGAGAAAGGAGGGAUCGGAGAAAAUGGUUUUGACACCCAGCUGUACCAUUUAUAUCCUGUUUUGUUUUGUUUGAUAAAGUGAUACUAACAAUCCUUGCCUUGUCAAUCUCACUGGGUCAAUGGGUCAUAGGACAUGAAAGGGCUUUGCAAACUCACCCUCGCUAUACUAAAGUAAGAGAAUAUUAUUGACAAGAAUGGAGAU
rnacentral:lncRNA from 1 species